CUGGAAAUGUGUGUGCAAGUUAAACAGACAGAGUGGAUGUAAUUGGGGGCUCAGUGUUUAAAUGGCUGUCUUUCAUGUGGAACUGAAGAAGUCAAUAACCCUGCAGUAGAUUAACUUUAAUGAGGUGGAAGCACUAAAAAUACCACCAGUUUAGAAAUACAUUAGAAGGAUCAGAAGAUACCUUUGCUGUGUAAACGUGGCUCCUUCUCUGUUGUUGCUCAGUAUGUAGGGACACUGUUAUUGACAAGUUAGACUUUAAACUGGGUUCAAAUGUUUCUGUCUAACCAGUGUUCUGUCGCAGGGUUGAAUGCCAACUACUGUUCGUCAUUAAUUUUUUGUUUUUAUUUUCAUUUAUUGUUUUUGUGCUGUGCCAUAUGCCAUUUUUCCUGAAAAAAACAUCACACCACUCUCAAGACUGUCCCGUCCAUACAUAUAACGUGGAGACGUGCGUCGCUAUGGCUACGGUUGCCUAGCAACCGCUAAAACCUUCCCCCUUCCUUCUCACUGCGUUGAAAACCUAAGAGUUCAAUCAAGAAAACCACUUGGGAUGUCCCAGCCUUUUUUGGUUGUUUGACCAACCGUAUAGCACAGGAGCAACACUUCACAAAAAGCAGUAUCACGUGUAUGCGCUUACAGAAUUAAAAAAGAAAGAAAAAAAGAGAAAAGAAACUACAGCAGCAGUAAUGUCAGCAACAAAUACAUCGAACAGAAUCAGCAUUUGCAAUAUCCAGAAGUGCUCCAGAGUUCCUAUCAUUCCACAGCUGGAUUCAUUUAUAUUAUGUACAUAUUCUAUUGUCGGCAACAAGAUAUACAUGUUAAGAAAAAGCAUAUCACUGAUGUUAUUCUACUGAACAGGGUUCUACUGUAUAGUGUGAUUUGUGGUCUAUGGCGUUAACAGAGGGCCAGUCUACACAGCCGGAGGCAAAAGAAAAUACUAUUCUGUAUGAUUACCAUUGGUAAUAUUGUUAUGUAGAGUUAGUUUUAUUAUUUAUACGUAAAUUUAAAGAAAAAAAACAUGGGGUAAUUAAACUGGAAGAGGGACGGAUUUCUUCUCGCUGUGUACAUACCUUAGUUCUAAAAACGGAGGACUUCAAAACUUCAGAUUCUCUGCUGCCACUACUUUUAAAAAUUAACAAAGAGGAAAGGAAGGGCUGGGAAUUUUUCUAUCUUGAUUUUUUACGUUUUAAUUUAUUUGGUAAUCAAUCUGAUGGCGGUGGGGAGAUGUGACAAUUUCUUUUUAAUUUAAGAAGAAGAAAAAAAUAGGAGGAUUCCUCGUGGUCUUCAAGACAAUGAACACACUUAUUAUAGAGUUUUUAAUUACAUAAAUGUACCUAUGGAAGUAAAAAAAAAAAACAAAAACAUGUUUCUUUAUUUAUUCUCUACAAUCGCUGUUUUAAAACAUAUGUCUUUAAAAGAAAAUAAAGUACAGUUUAGAAAAAAAAAAACC
ensembl:lncRNA